CGGCUGGGGAGGAGGCAGGCCUGUCACAUUGCUCCUGCCAGGAAGGCUCCUCCAAGCCCCUCUCUGUCCACUGGCCACCAGCAGGGCAAGCCCCCAGGGGAUGCUUGGGGCUGGGUCUUCGUAAUCCAGCGGUGUGAGCCUCCUGGGCAUCCCUCAGCCUCACGUGCUCUGGACUUGAGGGCCACCUCCUGCCUGUAACUCCAGAAGAAAGUGCCGUCUUCUGGCUUUCUGCACCACCAGCCCCUCUGAAGCACAAGAAGGCGGGGAGCCUGGAGGAGGCUCACUGUGGUUUGGAUUUCCAAAUGCAAAAGGCAAGAAUGAGACGGAAAGCCUGCUACUUAGGCAUUGAUUAGACACCAUUUAUUGACUACGUGUGUACUACAUGCAUUGUACUGGAAGUCAGCAAUUCAACAAGGAAUACGAAUAGCCCUGGCCCUCAGGGAGGAGAAUAGAAAGAAAAUAGAAGGAAAAACCCACUCAGCGUGAUAGGUGGCAUACUCAGGGAAUGUGGAAUUGCAGAGAAGCUAGAGUGUGGGACCUGGGGUAAGGCUGGAAGACUUCCUCGAAGAGGAGGCAAUUGAGCCGAAUCUUGAAGGAUAAAUAGGCAUUAACUAUAUAUAUGUGGAUCUUAAGAAUUGUUGUACUAUGCUUAGUCCCUCAGUCGUGUCCAACUCUUUGCAACCCCGUGGACUGUAGCCCACCAGGCUCCUCUGUCCACGGGAUUCUCUAGGCAAGCAUAUUGGAGCGGGUUGUCAUUUCCAUCUCCAGGGGAUCUUCCCAACCCAGGGAUCGAACCCAGGUCUCCCACAUUGCAGGCAGAUUCUUUACCACCUGAGCUACCAGGGAAGCCCAAGAAUACUGGAGUGGGUAGCCUAUCCCUUCUGCAGAGGAACUUCCUGACCCAGGAAUCAAAAAAGGAUCUCCUGCCUUGCAGGCAGAUUCUUUAUGAGCUGAGCUACAUUGGUGAACAGCAGAAGAGGAAGGAAGACUUUCUGCCCAAAGAGAACUGCAUGAGGUCCUUGUCUCCUGCUGCCCAGGAAGGGCUCGAUCAGUGGUGAAAACGAUAGUGAUCACAAA
rnacentral:lncRNA from 1 species